rnacentral:rRNA from 1 species
GAUGAACGCUGGCGGCGUGCUUAACACAUGCAAGUCGAACGAUGAAGCCCAGCUUGCUGGGUGGAUUAGUGGCGAACGGGUGAGUAACACGUGAGUAACCUGCCCUUGACUCUGGGAUAAGCCCGGGAAACUGGGUCUAAUACCGGAUAGGAGCGCCUGUCGCAUGACGGGUGUUGGAAAGAUUUUUCGGUCAUGGAUGGACUCGCGGCCUAUCAGCUUGUUGGUGAGGUAAUGGCUCACCAAGGCGACGACGGGUAGCCGGCCUGAGAGGGUGACCGGCCACACUGGGACUGAGACACGGCCCAGACUCCUACGGGAGGCAGAAGUGGGGAAUAUUGCACAAUGGGCGGAAGCCUGAUGCAGCGACGCCGCGUGAGGGAUGACGGCCUUCGGGUUGUAAACCUCUUUCAGUAGGGAAGAAGCGAAAGUGACGGUACCUGCAGAAGAAGCACCGGCUAACUACGUG